UGCUUUUGAAUCGUGCACUAUAAAGGAAAGGGUGAAAAUAAGGCAACACCAAUAGAAUGUGCUUAAUCUCUAUUUAAUUAAUAUAUAAGUUGAGACAAUAUACAAAAAAAAAUGCAAUGUACAUACUUUAAUAGUACACGAUACAAUAGAAAUUGAGAUAAAUAUAUCAUGAAUAUACAAUAGAAAUUGUGUCUAUCCUAGUUGCACUCAGGCUUUAGCUAAUCUUCCACAAACUCUAGAGUUUCCUUGUAGUUGGAGAACUGGUACAAUAUCAAGCUCGUGUUGAGCUUUUCUGCUUGUAUAUGGCACAUUAUGUGCACUAAUUACUUGGUAUUGGAUAUAAAGUCCUGACCUAUUUAAUCUCAUGCUUCAUGUGUUACCUAAAAUUNNNNNNNNNNNNNNNNNNNNNNNNNNNNNNNNNNNNNNNNNNNNNNNNNNNNNNUUGCUCACCUAAAAUCACUCUUUAAGGUCGCAGUCCCGUUGUCGAGAUGAACUAAAUAAUAAAUUUCAAGCUUGAUAUUGAAAGCUACUCCCAUAUUUCCCUUCAGCGUGUAUACACUUUAACCAAUAGAUCUUGAAAGACAUCAACAACUGUUGAACCUCGCAAUACAACAUUGUGAAAUCAAAGAGUACACACAUUAAAUUAUGGAGACUUUAAGUAACUAAAAAAUCUAAUAUGCCUCUUUGGAAUAUUGGCAGGAUCUUCCUUUAUAACCUUCGCCUAUGAAAUAAUCAUCUAUUUUGUACCCCCCCAUUGCAUUGCAUUACACUGUCCACUAUACCAUAUUUAAAAAAAUAGAAUUUAAAAUAUUUGAUCGGAUACAUCAAAUAUGGAAGUCUCCACUUUGAAUUUGGUGCCUCUGGCAGCUUGAACUUGAAGGUGUGCCAUGUGUUACCUGCAAUGAUGUGUCCAUUUACAAACAUAGUUAGCCACAACUCUCAACCUCACCAUUGAAAGUUAAAAUGUUUAUUAAAGUUAAAAGUUAAAAUGUUUAAUCAAGAAACAUACAUACAUGCUUAUUAUAGUUGCAGCCACAUGAUUAUGUGGUUAAAAAUUAUGCAGGCUGGAUCUUGGAGUUAUAACAGAACUGAAAAGUGGUUCCAAGUGCUCUUUAAUUUGUAAAAACAUUUUCAAAGUUAAUUCAAGAAUAUUACUUUCAUCAAAGAGAAUGAAACAAUGGUAACACUUUCUCAGCCCUGUCAUAAACAAUCCAGUUUAGAAUACAAUCUAAAAGGCUCAUUGACAUUAUGUAAGUGCUCACAUCCAAAUCCAUCAAAUUUCAUUCAAGCACUUUCCACAUUUUCAUUUACUGUUGCCCAAUUUAUGAUCUUUUUUUUCAUAUCAGAAAACUGAUAAUUGAAUGCCCAAUAAUUUCAAGAAACUAAAAAUUAGGUAAAUAAUCUUUUUACUUGAUAAUAGAUUAGGGAAAUCUCCGAAUAAUGUAGAGAAGUUCAAAAAACCAUUCCAGGAUCAACAAAAAUGAACUUAGAAAAGAGGACUCGCCCAUUUAAGAACCACCAAAAUCAUUACCAAAUCCUCAUUUACAAAUUAAGACAUCGGCAACUGCAACAUACAGAGCAACAUAGCAUCAAUGAGAUUGGUAGCAGAAUCAAAUCAAACAAAUAAAGAACCAUAGAAAGCUUAAUAAUCACUAUAUAAGCACUUUGGCUUUUAUGUUCCAACACUAUUUACUUGAUUGCUUGCAAAGUGAAGUCUUUCUUUUAAGUGAGGCCUUAAAUAUUCAAAGUGAAAAAAUCAUUCAUAAAUUUAUAAGAAAGCGAAAGUUAUAGAAAUAUUCAUAAACUAAAAAAUAAUAUAAGAAUUAGUUUUUGCAUCAAUCAACAUUUCAUAUAAUAUAUAUGCAUAAAUUGUGAUCCAAUGAAUCACCAAUAAAAAUCACAAUGCAACUUCGUAAAAGUAAUCAACAGUUACAACAUAACUACAUGUCUUUUCUCAAUGCAUAUUUAUCUCAUGAAUGACCAUUAACUUAAACAGAAUAAAAAAUCACAACUUUGAUUUAUAGUUAAAUAGUUAAAUUCAUAUGAAUGAAAGAUCUAUAUAAUUGAUGUACGAUAAGAAACUAAUAGAAGUUGGAAUCAGCAUGUUUCUUUCAAUGUGGUCAUGUUAUAAGUAGGUAAUUACCUUGAUUAAAAACUAUACCAUAAACAGAUUAGUGGAAAGUACACACACUUCUUUGAUAUAACUUUUUUAAGCUUGUGUAUUAAAAUAAUGAACAAAGUGAAAGCAUUAGACACUUCCAUCUGCACAUGAAUUAGAAGCAUUUCAGAGGCAAAGGUUUCAAAAUAAAUAAGGAACCAUAAAUAUAUUAUAAGCAUAAGUCUAUAACCUUACUUUUGAGAAGCAUGCAAUUCCUCAAAAUUAGGACCUCGAGCAAAUUUCUACCAAUGCAGCUGCCAAGUUUCCUGAGAGAAGAAUUCAACUAACAAAUUUAGGACCAGUAUAAGAAAGAAACACACUACUAUAAGAACUCAGCAGACCACCUCUAAAAGAAGCUUCAUGUAAAUAACAAAUCAAAAUAAGAAAAACAUAUAGUAGUUAUCAAACUCUAAUUCUAAAACAAAAAAGUAAAGCCAAAGAAAUACAAAAUUAGGGAUUAGAAAUACAAAUGAAAUAAAAUAGAUGGCUAUUAAAAAUUAGGUAUUUUGAAAAAGAAAGAGUAUACCCAGAAUCAAACAAUAACAUUGUCGUCGUUGGGCCGUGUGCUCUGCUUCAUCGAUCUUUGUCGUCGUUGGGUUUGUGAACCUGAACAAACAAUAACAUUCCCAAAAAAAAAAUUAAAAAUCAGAAUAUGAAAUUAAAUCAUGAAAUAAGGAAGGGAUUGAGAAGCAAGUUAAAACCUUUCUUAUUGACAAAGCUGAAGAAGCAUAUACCCAAAAUUUGAGGAAAAAAGUUGACAACAUAGAAAACCAUAUCAAAAACACGACAAAGAUAAACGUUGUUUUUGAAAAAUUUUGGAGGGGUUUUUGAAAUUUGAAAGCAUGAUGCAUUAGUCAAAGUUUGCAGAGAACACUUAGUUUUUCACCAAAAUGGAAGUUUUUGUUGAAGAUGGAGAGAAAGAAGACAUCAACAAAGCAGAAAGGGAAGAGAAAGAUUCUUUCCUUUUUCUUUUUUUAAAUUUUUUUUCUUUCUUUUUUCUGUUAUAUUGAAUUUUAAAAUUUGCAAAAUACAUUCAAUCAAACUAACUUAUUACUUAUAAAAAAGUUUAUAGAUAUAGAUUGAAUCUGAAAUAAAAAUUUUGAAAUAAAAAAUCUUAUUAAAAGUAAUAGUAUAUCGGUUUGGUUUUCUCCUCAAUUAAAGUUUACAAAUACUAAAUAAAACAAAUUAAAAUUGAUAUAAAUCUAAAAAAAAAAAUCUGAAAUUUAACAAAAUCAAUCAUAUUAUUGCGGUGGAGAAAAAAAUCCCACUAAAAACUCCUAAAAAGUAGGGAUUAUUAGCUAAAAGAUAAAAACAAAUCCUAAUAAAUAUGACAACUAAACAACAAUAUUUUUUAAAAAAUAGAAAGAGGCAAAUAGAAAAAUAUGCUAAUCUAAAUUGAUAAGGAAAAACUUUUCACGNNNNNNNNNNNNNNNNNNNNNNNNNNNNNNNNNNNNNNNNNNNNNNNNNNNNNNNNNNNNNNNNNNNNNNNNNNNNNNNNNNNNNNNNNNNNNNNNNNNNNNNNACAGAAAUGCCCCUGUUGCUCUAUUCUUUCAAAAAUUAAAAGAAUGGGUAUUUUGGUCCAAUUGAAAAGGUGCACCUUGCUAACUUAGAACUAACUAGGGUCUAAGUUAGAAAACCCUAUAUAUAUAUAUAUAUAGGUGGAUUCUAAGGUGAGGGAGCAACCAAGUCCCUCACCGAUGUACCACGUCAUUUCACCAUUGGAUUAAAUAGUCCAUUUUUUCAUUAUCACACUGGAUCUUAUAGUUUUUUUUUUAUAAAAAUAAAUAAAUAAAUAAUCAAAUAAAAUCUUAUAUAUCCUCUCUGCGACAUUACAAAUUCUUUUUCUCCACCCAAAUUCUUUCUUCCUCACCGGUGUUAAAUGUGUCUUUAAUAAUUAGGGUUCUUUUAUCUAUACAAAAUUGAAUUCCUUGCAUUAUUAACAUAGUUUAUUUGAACAAAAAUGGUAGACCAAAAUUCCCCCAAAACUAAAGUAAAGCUUUCCGUGAAUUUGGAUUGGAAAUAUUAAAAAAUAAACGCACAAAAGAAUUAGAUCUUUCGGCAAUGAAGAUUGAACAUUUAUUUAUGAUGAAUUAUUAGACUUCAGACUUGGUGUUGAUGAUUGUAUAUUGAAAAGGAUAUAAGAGAAGGUUCAACAAAACGAGUUUCUAUGUGAGGAAAAAAAAAUCGGUUUUGAAUUUUCUCUGUGUCUAUCAACGUUCAAGCAAAUAUCAGAUAAACAAGUUUUGUUGAGAAAUUCAACAAAACCCAGAUUCCGUUUUCAAUUUUAAAGAAAACUAAAUAUAUUCAUACAAGUCCAAACAAACGCCCUUACGCAGAUCAAAUUGAAAUAGAAAUUGAAUAACCAAACCAUAAUGUUUACAUUCACUUGAAAUCAAUGUGUGGAAGACACAUUAAUGAGAAAUACCGAUUUUCAAUUGCAAAGGCUGUCAAAUCUGAUGGAGAAGAAAGAGUGUGGAUGCAAGAUUCAGUGCAGCGGUGACUAAUAUAAUCAUGUGGGCUUUUUUAAUCUAACGGUCAAUAUUGGUGGUGCACCGGUGAGGGACUUAAUUGAGCCCUCACCCUAGAAUCCACCAUGAAAUGAAAUCAUGAAAUAAGGAAGGAAUUAUUUCAAUUAUAUCUUCAUUGGUUUCACAUACCUUGCUUUUUGAGAAGCCCUUUGAACAUUCCUUUAUGAGAUACCUGCAUAUCACUUGACCAAAGAAAACAUAGAACUCAUUAAACAGAACAAUUGUGUGAAACCCAUGAAAUUCAAAGCCAAGAAAAAUAAUACCUGUGUGCUCUGCUUCAUCGAUCUUUGUCGUCCCUGGGUUUGUAAAUCUGAACAAACAAUAACAUUAAAAAAAAAUCAGAAUAUGAAAUGAAAUCAUGAAAUAAGGAAGGGUGACAAAGCUGAAGAAGCAUAUCCCAACCAUUAAAUUUGAGAAAGAAGAAUAGCAGAGGGAGAGAGAGAGUCCGAAAAAAGAGAGAAGUAGGAUUCAAAAUUUGAAUUGAGUUCUGGAAGAGGGGGAAAUGAGCUGUGUUUUCUUUCAAAGUGUGAUGUGAACAGAGAUGAAGAGAGGGAUAUUUAUUUGUUUGAGAAAUAAUGAAAGCCAAAGUGUUUGCUAAAAAAAGUAUCCAAACCUGUUACAAAGCUGAGAAAGAAAGCGACUGUUCAAGAUGAUUGUGCAGCAGCAAUUUUG
rnacentral:lncRNA from 1 species